rnacentral:piRNA from 1 species
UUGGGUAAUGCAACCAUAGGGCAGGAAA